GACGAACGCUGGCGGCGUGCCUAAUACAUGCAAGUUGAGCGCUGAAGGUUGGUACUUGUACCAACUGGAUGAGCCGCGAACGGGUGAGUCACGCGUGGGGCAUCUGCCUUUGAGCGGGGGACAACAUUUGGAAACGAAUGCUAAUACCGCAUAAAAACUUUAAACACAAGUUUUAAGUUUGAAAGAUGCAAUUGCAUCACUCAAAGAUGAUCCCGCGUUGUAUUAGCUAGUUGGUGAGGUAAAGGCUCACCAAGGCGAUGAUACAUAGCCGACCUGAGAGGGUGGUCGGCCACAUUGGGACUGAGACACGGCCCAAACGCCUACGGGAGGCAGCAGUAGGGAAUCGUCGGCAAUGGACGAAAGUCUGACCGAGCAACGCCGCGUGAGUGAAGAAGAUUUUCGGAUCGUAAAACUCUGUUGGUAGAGAAGAACGUUGGUGAGAGUGGAAAGCUCAUCAAGUGACGGUAACUACCCAGAAAGGGACGGCUAACUACGUG
rnacentral:rRNA from 1 species